GCGCGCCCGCGCCCGCCCGGGACGCCCUGAGAGGCGGAGGGGAGAGGGAGUGGCUGGGGUGCGGAUUUGUUGCUUGCUUGGCCUUCGCCCCUCGAGUGGAGGGGAUGGUGCCUUUCCUCGCCUCUUCCUGGACAUUGCGUGGAGUGAACCUUUCUGGACCGGCUUCACGCCCCGGCAAGGUGUUUGGAAAUGAGAACUGUCAGCACUAAGGUUGAGUCGGUGGAGGAUCUUGAGACAGCGGGGAAGGGAUCGAACUCUGGACCUUGUGCUUGCGAGGCAGGAGGCAGGUGGCGGAACUACUGAGCUGAAUCCCCGGCCCAGGCUUUUUACAUGAUCAAUGAAGAAUUUCCAUAUUUAGGCAUAUGUUUUGAAGUGCAAUUUAAGUUCAG
ensembl:lncRNA